UACGGAGGGAGCUAGCGUUGUUCGGAAUUACUGGGCGUAAAGCGCACGUAGGCGGCUUUGUAAGUUAGAGGUGAAAGCCCGGGGCUCAACCCCGGAAUUGCCUUUAAGACUGCAUCGCUUGAAUCCGGGAGAGGUGAGUGGAAUUCCGAGUGUAGAGGUGAAAUUCGUAGAUAUUCGGAAGAACACCAGUGGCGAAGGCGGCUCGCUGGGACGUUACUGACACUGAGGCGCGAAAGCGUGGGGAGCGAACAGGG
rnacentral:rRNA from 1 species